UCUCCCUCUUAGCGUCUUUACUGUGUAUCUAUUGCCAGCCUUUUCCAUGAUCCGCUCUGGGAAGCCGGCACCAGCCCUCCUGAAGCCCACAAGGCUAACCCACGCUCUCCGGACCAAGGGCCCACGCUGCGCUCCCGGCUCUCCCAGGGGUGAGGCCUGCCUCCCCGCAGAAGGACGCGGAGGGAGGAAGCGUCCCGCCCUAUGUGGCUCCCGGGCGAGGCUGUGGAGGGAGAAGGGAAGUGGCCGCGGACACCCCGCCGACUCCCUGCACUGGCUUCUUGACUUUCUUGUACUAACACCGCAGGCUAAGGGAUAAGGGACAAGGAGAGGACAGAGGAAGAACACAACACAGUUUUGCAUCUGUGGAAAGAAACGUCCUUCCUGGCCCAGGUUUUGGCGCCAAGCACGGCUCCCACCCCUGGAGUUCGGCAGAAAUGAGGUCACAGGGGAAGGAAAAGAGAGGAAAAAAUCCUCCACCUCAGCAUGCCCCGAGUGGGAGUCCCACGGCGGCUCUAAACGGCAUCACCGUUUGUGCGCUGAGGUGAGGCGGCGACACAGCAGGCCCUGAGAGGAAAGGCCAUCACACCCAGGAAUUCCGAGGCCCGGAUUCUGGAGCACAUGCGGUGUGUGUUAUUCUUACCACAAACCAGAACUGUGUUCCUUUUUGAAAUGGUUGACUCCACAGCUGUUUGAAAAUCCCCUGGUACUUGGAGACAAAUGAUCCAAGUCAGGCUGUGCUAACAGGCCGGUGCUGGAGCCAGGCGGGAGGUGUGACUGGUGUGGGUCCUCAGGCCCAUCAAUCACUGCUCAGUGCAAUUCCCAAGGGCCCACUGGACUCUCUGACAGCACUGUUUACAUUAGAAUAUGAUUGUGAAACUUCCAGAAAGAAGAGAGGUGGCAGAGAGCAUGCCACUGGGCCAGCCCAGCCGCCUCACCCGCAGGGAGGCAGACCACACCAAGGCCCAGUGGCGUGAGGUGGGUCAUGGCCUGAGCCCAUUCUCUCCCAGGCUGUCCCUGAGGAGAUGCCGGAAUAUUCUCUGACGUGGGAGCCAGAGCCACAUCAGAGGGGACAGGGCUCUCUCAGCUAAGAUGGCUUUGCCCAACAUGGUGAGGGAAGACAGUGCUUUGCCCUGGGCCAGGACAGCUGGGAAUGUUGGGAAGGCCCUGAAUGGAAGAGCAUUUGGGGAGCCCCGAAGACAGGAGGAAAGCACAGCCACAGAGGCCCACACAGAUGGGGAGCUCCCAGGCUGCUGCAGCUGACGGGCUUGGCUAAAGAAGGAUUAUGCACCUGUUUAAUCUUGAGAGAAAGAUUGCAAGUUACGGCUGUUUUGCUCUAACACGCCCCAUUAAAUAUUCCUGGAAUCCAAAUGCAAAAGGAAAAAAUAAACCACUUUGAAAUUGCA